GGACACGGCUGGAUAAUCCAAAAUAAUUCCUCCUUGGCAGGCGGCCGGCGCGAGAGGGGGACCGCAUUCCAAACCCUUGUUUUUCUCACUGACUUCCCUCCCUUCCUGGGGCAAGGAACCCCUGGCCCAACCUCAGGCCUCUCCUCAUCCCUCAGACAGAGAUGAGACCCCAGUAGGUACGCGGGGAGGAAGUGGGAAGCUCAGACCUGCCGAGCCCACCUGCUCGGCCUCAGUCUUCUCUGGGAAUUCCUAAAGGCUGACACACCACAAAAAACACCCAGCAGGCCAGCCAAGCCGAUGCUGACCCUGCCUCCUAGAGACUCUCACUCAGGGCAGAGGAGGGAUAUCCCAGUCCCCUCUCUGCUGGACGGUUCCUGUCCACUCUCAGGCUCUCAGACAGCAUCUCCCUUCCAUGCCAAGUUCUGAGACUUCCUGGGUCCCAAGGUGUUCACCCAAACACCACACCAACAAACCACACCAGGAACUGUCGAGCAGGCCCUGUGGAGAAGCAGACUCCCGUCCCCAGGACUUGCCAGGAGCUGAGCAGACCCUAGUCCCCUGAAACCCGGAACCUGCACCCACCUUCCAGCCCGGUCAGGCAAGACCAAGGACUCACAGGGUGCUCCUCGCCCACGCUCUCCUCACUAGGAGUCCCAAAGCGGGCCUCUGGGAACCCACACCCAGGACCCAGAAGCCGUCCCUAGGUGACUGGAGGUAGUGGUGACAGACAGCCUCUCCCUGGGGGUUCCAGCUUUGGACUUGAGAUCACUCCACUUCUGGCCACUCCAGCCCAUCUGCCCUGGUCCUGAUGCCCCUGGGGCCCCCUGAACUUCAGAAGCGGUGGGGACCCUCCCUGGGGCCAGCUUUCGUGUGUGCUCCCUCCUGCUGCCCCUCACGCAGUCUCCAGUCAUAGGACAAGGUGUGACAGUCCACUUCCUCCUGUCUCCUCCCCUAAUGCUCAAGAACACCCGGCCACUGGGGCAUCGACGGGAGGAUGUCACUCAUUAGUUCUUUCAGCAUCUCGCUGAGCUCCCAGCCCCAACCAGCCAGGCCAGACCUUCACCCCUUCAGCCCUGAACUGCAUCCACAACACGGCCCACCCAAGCCCCCACCACAGGGCACCCUAGAAUUGUCAGGGUCUGACAGCAAUGCCAACUUUUUAUCAAAAAAGGAAGUUACAAGACAAGCUUUGUGUCACAGAAGGGCAUUUUAAUACCAAAAAUAUGGGAAGGCUACUAUCCCAGACUAAAAGGGAGUCUUUAAAUAGAGCGCAGGAAGCUUGGGGGUGAACACUGUCCUUCCUGCCCCUAGAGCUGCCGAUGGGUAAACUCUGCCCACCUCCACCCAGAGCCGCCCCCAGGCCCUGCACACGGCCCCUCCAACCUCGGGAGCCUCAGUGACUGACCACAGCACCCUCCUGGACCAACUGGGUCCUGCCUAUCCAGGCCCCCCUGCCCACAGGCCUCUCUCCACCCAUCUGCCCCUUCCUCCCUCCUCACUGCCUGCCCCCAGCCCAGUGGGGAGACAGAGGCUCAGCCAAGCCAGAGCUGACCUGAUCCUGGGAUAGACCGAGGGGACUUCUGGGGGACAGGAUGGAGCUGGCAGGACUCCAUGCCUAGCCCCUCCACCCCACUGCUGCACUGUACUCGGAGGCCUCGUCUGUGCAGAGGGGU